CCCGCCUCCCGAUCUCCCCCCCCCCCUUUUCCCCUCCGUUCCCUCCGCUUCGAAGGGAGAAAAAGGAAGCGAACAAAUGGGCUCGCUUACCUCCCCUCGGCCCUCUGCCGGUGCCGGUGCCGGCGUCGGCGCCGCCGAGGCCCCCAAGGCGGCCAGCCGGCCGGUCAUCGACCCCGGCGAGCUUGGCCGCCUCUUCGUGUCCCAGCGCGGCCACCUUGAUCACUUCUUCGACCACCUGGACCUCUCCCGGGCGGCUGCCUUCGCCCAGGCCCUCCUCGACGCCCCCGGCGCCGUCUUCUUCUCCGGUGUCGGCAAGUCCGGCAUCGUCGCCCACAAGCUCUCCCAGACCCUCGCCUCCCUCGGCUUCGCCCGCUCCGCCUUCCUUGCCCCCGUCGACGCCCUCCACGGCGACAUCGGCGCCCUCUUCCCUGGCGACCUCCUUGUCCUCCUUUCCAAGUCCGGCUCCUCCGAGGAGCUCCUAGGCCUCGUCCCCUGCGCCCGCGCGAAAGGGGCGUACCUCAUCGCCGUCACCUCCGUCGAGGGCAACCCUCUCGCCGCCCUCUGCGACAUGAACGUCCAUCUCCCCCUCCAGCGGGAACUCUGCCCCUUCAACCUCGCGCCCGUCACCUCUACCACCAUUCAGAUGGUCUUCGGCGACACCGUCAUCGCUGCCCUCAUGGCUGCUAAGGAGCUUACACGUGAGCAGUACGCCGCCAACCACCCCGCCGGCAAGAUCGGGAAAAGCCUCAUCUUUAAGGUGAAAGACGUCAUGAAGAAGCAGGAGGAGCUUCCUAUCUGCAAGGAGGGAGACAUGAUAAUGGAUCAGCUCACAGAGCUGACGAGUAAAGGAUGUGGAUGUCUGCUUGUUGUUGAUGAUAAAUACCUUCUGAUUGGAACCUUUACGGAUGGCGACCUGCGACGGACACUCAAGGCCAAUGGUGCAGCCAUCUUCAAUCUCACGGUUGGUCAGAUGUGCAACCGGUAGGCACUUUUUCUUGCAAUCAAUGAAAAGUAGGAAAAUCUCCAAAUUUUUCCUUACAAGAAACCCAAGAACAAUCAGACCGGAUGCAAUGGCGGUGGAAGCAAUGCAGAAAAUGGAGUCACCCCCAUCUGCUGUACAAUUCUUGCCAGUUGUUGAUGAUCAGAAUAUUGUGAUUGGGAUCAUCACCUUGCACGGACUGGUUUCAGCAGGCUUGUGAACUUUAUUCAGUUUAUUUUCAUGUAUUCUUUGUACUGCAAUUUUUUGUAUCUGACUCAAUCUAGGAUCUGGAUGUUAAUGCAUUUCUGUAAGUUCAAUUCUAUGCCCCAAUAUGGUGAGCCCUGCAUAUGACAGUCCUGCAUUAUUUUUGUAUUGGUUUUUACUUGAGGUUUGUGGGGUAUUUUUUCCUUAUCCGCUGCGUUAUUUGUAAGCAAAGGAUGUUAGUUACUCUUUAUGAAUGAUUUGUAUUGGUAAUGUACUUGUUUUAACAUAUGGAAAAUAUCAUUCUAUAUUCAA